UACGUAGGUGGCGAGCGUUAUCCGGAAUGAUUGGGCGUAAAGGGUGCGUAGGCGGCCUGUUAGGUCGGGGGUCAAAUACCGGGGCUCAACCCCGGUCCGCCCCCGAUACCGGCAGGCUUGAGUCUGGUAGGGGAAGGCGGAAUUCCCAGUGUAGCGGUGGAAUGCGCAGAUAUUGGGAAGAACACCGGCGGCGAAGGCGGCCUUCUGGGCCACGACUGACGCUGAGGCGCGAAAGCUAGGGGAGCGAACAGG
rnacentral:rRNA from 1 species